AUUUUCCGGUUGACGGGCCUGCAUCGAUUUGACCGCUGGAUAAGGGCUAGGGGAAUGUGGCACCUUCGGGUGUGUUAUAGCCUCUGGUCGUAUACAGUGGUCG
rnacentral:rRNA from 1 species